CCCUUAGACGUUCUGGGCCGCACGCGCGCUACACUGAUGCAUUCAACGAGCCUAUCCUUGACCGACAGGUCCGGGUAAUCUUUGAAUCUGCAUCGUGACGGGGAUAGAUUAUUGCAAUUAUUAAUCUUCAACGAGGAAUGCCUAGUAGGCGCAAGUCAUCAGCUUGCGUCGAUUACGUCCCUGCCCUUUGUACACACCGCCCGUCGCUCCUACCGAUUGGGUGUGCUGGUGAAAUGUUCGGAUCGGCCGUUUGUCGCGGUUUCCGCGUCAUGUGGCUGAGAAGUUCAUUAAACCCUCCCACCGAGAGGAAGGAGAAGUCGUAACA
rnacentral:rRNA from 1 species